GAGACCACCUCUAAUCCUGAGAAUUCCCUGGAGGAGGAGGAAGUACUGUCCCAGCUGGCUGAAAAGAUGAAAGCCUAUACUCUGAUGGUGGAGGCUGAAGAGAUGUUGAAGAAUGGAGCAGAGGAACACAGUGUCCAGAAGAGAUCCUGCGUCACUGCCACCUGCCUGCUCCACAGUUUGGUAGAGACACUGAGUGCCAAUGAGAAUAUGGGAAAGAGCCCCCUGCUGCCCUACAACAUGGGUUUCAAGGUUUAUGAUGGACGCCACAAGUUCCAUAAGAACUAAGCUGUGAAGUGACUCCAGGAAGGUCUCCAUGUGGCUGAACUCUACUUUCAACUUAAAAUAAUAUUUUAAUGCAUGCAAGAAACUUAAAUUAAUCCUUCCUGGCAGUGAAGCCACCCUUUCUCUUUAAAAUAAAUAAAAUCUAA